rfam:Gorilla gorilla gorilla genomic chromosome, chr6, whole genome shotgun sequence
AAGACUAUACUUUCAGGGAUCAUUUCUAUAGCUUGUUACUAGAGAAGUUUAUCUGAACGUGUAGAGCACCGAGAACCUACAAAAUACCAUGAAAUGAGAAGUGAUGAUAAAGAGUGGUCCUUCACUCUUCACCUUUCAAGAAGGACAGCAUUCCCUAAAGUAUCUUGGUCAGUAAAGAAGGCUGAAGGU